rnacentral:tRNA from 1 species
GGAUUGUGGCUCAGUGGUAGAGUGUUGCCCUAGCACGUUCAAGGCCCUGGGUUCGAUCUCCAGCACCA